rnacentral:rRNA from 1 species
UACGGGGGGGCUAGCGUUGUUCGGAAUUAUUGGGCGUAAAGGGCUCGUAGGCGGACCUGUAAGUUUGACGUGAAAUCUCCCACCGCUCACCGGGGAGGGGCCGUUGAAUACUGCAGGUCUGGAGUCGGCAGAGGACCUGGAAUUCCAGGUGUAGCGGUGGAAUGCGUAGAUAUCUGGAAGAACACCGGUGGCCGAAGGCGGUGGAUCUGGGCCUGGAACGUGACGCUGAGGAG